CACCUCCCAGGAUCACGUCUGGAGAGUAGCCAGUCUCCUGCCAGCUUCGGAAGUGGGAGGGAAAGCAAGGCUGCAGAGACACCCAUUCCAUUCCCAGCUUGCUCAGUAGCUGGUGAUUAGAAGACCCUCUGCAACAGGG